rnacentral:rRNA from 1 species
AGCGAACGCUGGCGGCAGGCCUAACACAUGCAAGUCGAGCGCCCCGCAAGGGGAGUGGCAGACGGGAGAGUAACACGUGGGAACAUGCCCUUCAGUACGGAACAACCAAGGGAAACUUUGGCUAAUACCGUAUACGCCCGUAAGGGGAAAGAUUUAUCGCUGAAGGAUUGGCCCGCGUCUGAUUAGCUAGUUGGUGGGGUAAUGGCCCACCAAGGCGACGAUCAGUAGCUGGUCUGAGAGGAUGAUCAGCCUCACUGGGACUGAGACACGGCCCAGACUCCUACGGGAGGCAGCAGUGGGGAAUAUUGGACAAUGGGCGCAAGCCUGAUCCAGCCAUGCCGCGUGAGUGAUGAAGGCCUUAGGGUUGUAAAGCUCUUUCGUCAGGGAAGAUAAUGACGGUACCUGAAGAAGAAGCCCCGGCUAACUUCGUGCCAGCAGCCGCCGUAAUAC